GGAAAUGAUGUUGUAAUUUGCGCCAGACUGUGGUUUGUGGGAACAGACUGCCAUCUGUUCUUUACCACACCACUUGGUUGAUGACAAACUCACUUCUGAUCC